rnacentral:rRNA from 1 species
UGGGGAAUUUUGCACAAUGGGGGAAACCCUGAUGCAGCGACGCCGCGUGAUUUAGAAGGCCUUCGGGUUGUAAAAAUCUUUUCUAUGGGAAGAAAAUGACAGUACCAUAGGAAUAAGGACCGGCUAAUUACGUGCCAGCAGCCGCGGUAAUACGUAAGGUCCGAGCGUUGUCCGGAAUCAUUGGGCAUAAAGGGUACGUAGGCGGGUAAGCAAGUUAGAAGUGAAAUCCUAUAGCUCAACUAUAGUAAGCUUUUAAAACUGCUCAUCUUGAGGUAUGGAAGGGAAAGUGGAAUUCCUAGUGUAGCGGUGAAAUGCGCAGAUAUUAGGAGGAAUACCGGUGGCGAAGGCGACUUUCUGGCCAUAACCUGACGCUGAGGUACGAAAGCGUGGGUAGCAAACAGG